UACGACUACAUAUCAGGCAUAUCAAUAAGCGGAGGAAAAGAAACUAACUAGGAUUCCCUUAGUAACGGCGAGUGAAGCGGGAAGAGCUCAAAUUUGAAAUCUUCAAGGUUCUACCUUGACGAAUUGUAGUUUAAAGAAGUGUUUUCUGUUGAAGUUUCGGUAAAAGUUCUUUGGAAUAGGACAUCAUAGAGGGUGAGAAGUCCCGUAUUUGACCGAUUACUUUCCAGCUGUUGUGAUACACUUUCAAAGAGUCGGAUUGUUUGGGAAUGCAGUCCAAAAUGGGUGGUAAAUUUCAUCUAAAGCUAAAUAUUGGCGAGAGACCGAUAGCGAACAAGUACCGUGAGGGAAAGAUGAAAAGAACUUUGAAAAGAGAGUUAAACAGUACGUGAAAUUGUCAAAAGGGAAGCGUUUGACACCAGUGUUGUUUUCUCGAAAAUCAAUUAAAAAGUAAUUGAUUUUGUAUUGUUAUGACCUUAUCAGCUUACUGUACUUUUUUCUUAGUCUUUUUAAUGCACUUUUCGUUUAACAAGUCAACAUCAAUUUCUUUUGUUGUAAAAGAGUCAUUGGAAGGUGGCUUUCACUUUCGGAUGAAAGUGUUUAUAGCCUUUGGCUUCUGCAAUCGGAGAGAUUGAGGUCUGCAGCGUAGAUCCUUCGGGGUUAGAUACAUUAGAUGCUAAGUUAUAGCUUUUCAUAGACAACUUGUUGACUAUGAUUAGUCAUGCUAGUUUACUCGUCUGACGCUAUUUUACCUACGCUUAGGAUGUUGACGCGCGUGUGUGCGUG
rnacentral:rRNA from 1 species